ensembl:lncRNA
CUUCAUCUUUUCUGCUGUCAACUUGUCAGCUGGGGUGUCAGCUUCAAGGAUGAUAUUCAUAUUAAAGGCUGCUGUGAGCUUGCUGGAUGAGCAUCUGGCAUCCUGGCUGAAGGACAUGUCUGAAACUAUUAGUGAUGAACCCCAUCAUUGGCUCGGGCACCACAGCAAGCAUACUUCAGGGCAGAUACCAUGAUGUCACUCAUUGUGGGAGUAGCAUUCAACCAGUAGGACAUGAGGACAAUCAUGAGGACAAGCCUCCAGGUGAACAGCAAGAUCUUGUUGCCCUUUCUUAUGCUAGAGAAGGGAGG